CGCACGCGGCCCGCGCACUCCUCCCGCCUGCCCCGGGUUUUCUCAGUCGCCGCAUCCCGUAGGAACCAGAGGUGCCACCGCCCGCCGGGGCGACGGGCUGGGGGAGAUGGCAGCGUGCCACGCGAGCGCCCUCUCUCCUCACGUCAGUUUUUAGACUUCCCCUGUUUGCAAACCGAGAGAAUUUGAACAGCCCCGGAAAAGCAGCCGCAACGAGUGGGGACCCAGAUCUGAUUCAGGAAUCCGCGCGUGCAGUGAGCGUCUUCCUCUCCGGACUACAAGGGGACUCAUCCCGGUUUUGUUCUCUCCCCUUCUCUCUAAACACCAUGUGUUCUGAGUAAUUAUUCAUUCCUUCGCUACCGAGCUCAGGAGUGAAAAAGCAGCCGCAACAGUGCACGUUGGGUGCUCAGGAAGAUGCAUCAUUUGAUUUGGAAAAGACUUGUCAAAUUUCCUUGUGCUGGUCGCUGUGGCCCAUUUCCAAGUACGCACAUUCAUGAUGGAAGGCAAAGUCUCCCUGCAUGUGGACAGGAUUUACCUUUCCAGAGGCUGGAAUAUAUCUGCAACUGAGACGGGGUGCACUACCUUAUCUUACGUGAGCAAGAAGAUUUACUAGAAAACGGCAUCUUGUUGCACAGACCCCAGUGGUCUUUGGUUCACCUGGGAAUAUCCCAUGAGCUGCCACCUUCAGACUGGUAUGAUUACAGAUAGAUAACGGAUUUCAAACAGAAGCUGGGCUUGCUCAGGGUACCAUGGUCAACAGAGGUGUAGAAUGACCGUACCUGCUGGGUGCUGAGGGAGGUACACAGGGAACAGAUGGCCUCUGCGUCCUCUUGGGUUUUCUUCUUUAAUUGCAGGAGUUGGGCUGCUUGGAUCAGAGGUUCCAUGGUCUGAACUGCUCCACUCUGGUGAAGGUUUCUUCCCCGGAGCCACUCCUCAAGUUGACUGAUGUUGUACCUUAGCCACGAGUAAAGAGUGAACUGGGUUAGGCUCGUCCUUCUAAUUCACUGGGAUGAGGACCCCAGUGUUGCAGGCUAGUUGCAACUAGUCUCAUCAUUCUCCUCACCUUAAUUACCUCCUGUGGUUAAAAGCUUGACAAGUGCCUGGCACUAUUUGUUGAAUAGAGAAUGAAUAAAUCAAUGAGUGGCUGCCUAAAAUCAAGCCAAGAUGAAAUACCUGAAGUGUCUACAUAAGUUAGUGGGGAAAAAUAGGCAUUAAAUAUGUUGAAUUAAAACAAUUUAUAUUUAACAGUUUGCAAACAUCUUUAUGCUUCUAUGGAGCCUUCAUGCCUCUUAACUCAUUGAUUGUUCCGACCAAUCCACAUUGUAUUUACAGUCUUAAAGUAUGUAAAUGUCUUUAAGCUUGGAA